rnacentral:rRNA from 1 species
UACGUAGGGUGCAAGCGUUGUCCGGAAUUAUUGGGCGUAAAGAGCUCGUAGGCGGUUUGUCGCGUCUGCUGUGAAAACCCGAGGCUCAACCUCGGGCCUGCAGCCGAUACGGGCAGACUAGAGUUCGGCAGGGGAGACUGGAAUUCCUGGUGUAGCGGUGAAAUGCGCAGAUGUCAGGAGGAACACCGGUGGCGAAGGCGGGUCUCUGGGCCGAUACUGACGCUGAGGAGCGAAAGCGUGGGGAGCGAACAGG